CUUUCUCUGUCUGAAGCUUGGACUAUUCAUGAGAGGACUUCCUACUCCAAGACAUAAGGGAGUCUUGCUCAGAAGGAGGAGCUCCUGUCUGCUGAGGACACGGUUCCAUCCAAUGAGCUUCAUCAUGGCCUAUGAACAGCCAAAGGGUAAAAUGAUCAGAAAACUGGACAGUUUUUGACAGUCUGUAAGUAACUACUGUGGCCUACUCAACUGCCUGGCCUUUUGAAAAGCACACUUAGAAGCUGGUGAUGUCCAUGGGACCACAUACCGGGAAAUGACAGAGGUGUAUAUUUACAAAGUAACUCUUGAC
rnacentral:lncRNA from 1 species